GACGAACGCUGGCGGCGUGCUUAACACAUGCAAGUCGAACGGAAAGGCCCUGCUUUUGUGGGGUGCUCGAGUGGCGAACGGGUGAGUAACACGUGAGUAACCUGCCCUUGACUUUGGGAUAACUUCAGGAAACUGGGGCUAAUACCGGAUAGGAGCUCCUGCUGCAUGGUGGGGGUUGGAAAGUUUCGGCGGUUGGGGAUGGACUCGCGGCUUAUCAGCUUGUUGGUGGGGUAGUGGCUUACCAAGGCUUUGACGGGUAGCCGGCCUGAGAGGGUGACCGGCCACAUUGGGCCUGGGAUACGGCCCAGACUCCUACGGGGGGCAGCAGUGGGGAAUAUUGCACAAUGGGCGGAAGCCUGAUGCAGCAACGCCGCGUGCGGGAUGACGGCCUUCGGGUUGUAAACCGCUUUCGCCUGUGACGAAGCGUGAGUGACGGUAAUGGGUAAAGAAGCACCGGCUAACUACGUG
rnacentral:rRNA from 1 species